rnacentral:rRNA from 1 species
UGGGGAAUUUUGGACAAUGGGCGAAAGCCUGAUCCAGCAAUGCCGCGUGUAGGAUGAAGGCCCUCGGGUUGUAAACUACUUUUGUACGGAACGAAAAGACUCUUUCUAAUAAAGAGGGUCCAUGACGGUACCGUAAGAAUAAGCACCGGCUAACUACGUGCCAGCAGCCGCGGUAAUACGUAGGGUGCAAGCGUUAAUCGGAAUUACUGGGCGUAAAGCGUGCGCAGGCGGUUAUGUAAGACAGAUGUGAAAUCCCCGGGCUCAACCUGGGAACUGCAUGUGGGACUGCAUAGCUAGAGUAAGGCAGAGGGGGAUGGAAUUCCGCGUGUAGCAGUGAAAUGCGUAGAUAUGCGGAGGAACACCGAUGGCGAAGGCAAUCCCCUGGGCCUGUACUGACGCUCAUGCACGAAAGCGUGGGGAGCAAACA